rnacentral:rRNA from 1 species
GUCUACGGCCAUGCCACCAUGAACGUGCCCAAUCUCAUCUGAUCUCAGAAGCUAAGCAGGGUUGAGUCUGGUUAGUACUUGGAUGGGAGACCACCUAGGAGCCGCAGGCAUUGUAAACU